rnacentral:rRNA from 1 species
UGGGGAAUAUUGCACAAUGGGCGAAAGCCUGAUGCAGCGACGCCGCGUGAGGGAUGACGGCCUUCGGGUUGUAAACCUCUUUCAGCAGGGAAGAAGCGCAAGUGACGGUACCUGCAGAAGAAGCACCGGCUAACUACGUGCCAGCAGCCGCGGUAAUACGUAGGGUGCGAGCGUUGUCCGGAAUUAUUGGGCGUAAAGAGCUCGUAGGCGGUCUGUCGCGUCNAAUGUGAAAGCCCGGGGCUUAACCCCGGGUCUGCAUUCGAUACGGGCAGACUAGAGUGUGGUAGGGGAGAUCGGAAUUCCUGGUGUAGCGGUGAAAUGCGCAGAUAUCAGGAGGAACACCGGUGGCGAAGGCGGAUCUCUGGGCCAUUACUGACGCUGAGGAGCGAAAGCGUGGGGAGCGAACAGGAUUAGAUACCCUGGUAGUCCACGCCGUAAACGUUGGGAACUAGGUGUUGGCGACAUUCCACGUCGUCGGUGCCGCAGCUAACGCAUUAAGUUCCCCCCNUUAANGGUACGGCCGCAAGGCUA